rnacentral:lncRNA from 1 species
CUCUGAGGACUCCAGCAGCAGAUCUAGCCCUCAGUCCACAACUUGCUGAGAGAAUAAGAUCUGUCCAUUUUAUUCUUCAAAAGUAGAGCUUUAGUAUCUUCCCUCUUCAUCUGGCUUCCCUUGUCACACUCGCAUUCAAGGAAGUUUCUACAACUUUCAUCAAGUUUUUGCUACUGCUGCUGGGGCCUUAUAAUUAGGCUCCAAUGACAAACCAUUUGCCAAUAUGUUCUUGAUUAUCCUUGUGACAGACCUUCACUGAGCCUUCAAAUGCUCAAGGCAAAAGAGGCUCUUUUUUUUUUUUUUCGAUCUUUGGCUUCCUGGCUGACUUAUAACAGGUAAGCCAAAAACCUGAGUCUGCUCUGGGUUUAAAUAUUUUUUUAAUAUUUCUCCAUUACUGUUCCAAUUUAUUUUGAUUUCUGUUCUGAUUUUAGAAUAUGAAAAUGUUGAAUUUACUCCUCUAUUUCUGUGAAUAAUUGUAUUUUAAAAUUCUUUCAUAAGAUUUAGGAAAGCAAGUAUUACUGUUUUUAUUGUUGUUAUUUUAGGGACAUUCAUCAGUGAAACUUAGCAGGGGACUUGUAACGUUUUGCACAAUUGAAGCAAAUGGUUUAGCUAAUAUCUGACAACAUUCCAGUCUAACACUAACAGGCUGUUAAUCUGCCACCAAAUAGAUUUACAGUGAAAGCUUUUCCUUUCUCUGCAGGACAAAGCAAAAUUUGAAAUAUCCCCCUCAAGCUAAUCCUCUGAAUUACUAGAUUCAAGAGAGAAUCACUUAAUUUUUUACUUGUGAUCAUAUUUCGUCUCCACUCUACCUUUUGUACUUUUGUAUCUAUCUUACAGUUUUCAUAUCAGAUUCAUGCAGAACUCCUAAUGAAAGCAGAGCAGAGAUCACAGGUUGCUCCCUGCUUCUUGUGCUUUUGCAACACACAUUUUAAAAAUAUUGCUUCAUUCUUCUGCAUGUAAGAUUUCAGUGGCAAAUAAACCUCAUCAUCUAGCAGAAGAGAGGGAAGAA